rnacentral:lncRNA from 1 species
AAUAAUAUGAACCCAAAUAAUAUGAACCCAAAUAAUAUGAACCCAAANNNNNNNNNNACCCAAAUAAUAUGAACCCAAAUAAUAUGAACCCAAAUAAUAUGAACAAUUAUAAUACGAACAAUUAUAAUACGAACACUUUUAAUAAUAAUAAUAAUAUGAAUUGGCAAGAUAAAAACAAUUACACUUAUAAAAAUGGAAAAAUGGAAGAAAAAAAUGCUUAUAAAGAUAAGGCUUAUACAGAAAAAUUAGAUACAUUUAAAUUUACAGCAAUGAAAGAUAUAGGUGGCAUAAAUAACUUCAACAUAAAUGAAAAACUAAACAAUAAUAAUAGUAGUAACAAUAAUAGUAGUAGUAACAAUAAUAGUAGUAGUAACAAUAAUAAUAGUAAUAACAAUAAUAAUAGUAAUAAUCGCUUGAACAAUUUAUUAAAUUAUCAAACACAUAUAACGAACACAAAUUAUGAACACUCAGGCAUUUCUAUUUUUAACGGAGAUAAUAAUAAAACUAAUUUAUUAUUACGUAAGGAUAUGAAUCAACUAUUACCAGAUAUAAAUAAUAACAAUAUACAUAACAUGCAUAUUACUAGUGGUAGUAGUAGUAGUAAUAGAAAUGCAUUUUGCACACAACCGUAUUUAAACAAAGACACAAAUAACUUAUUUUUAAAAAAUAAUGUAACCAUAUUAAAAGAGAAUAAUAAUGAUUAUGGCAAUAAUAGUAACUACAACCAACAUGGCAAUAAUAGUAACUACNNNNNNNNNNAUGGCAAUAAUAGUAACUACAACCAACAUGGCAAUAAUAGUAACUACAACCAACAUGGCAAUAAUAGUCAAUAUAAAAAUAACACAAUUUUUAAAAACUUGACGAAUAAUAACAAAAACAACGACAACGACGAUAUGCAAAUCCAAAGAAAUAACAUAUUUAAUCAUAAAAUUGAAUCAAAAGAAAAUACACUAAGUAAUAAUUUUAAUUUAAACUAUUUAAACAAACAACCAAAAAAUACAACUGUAGAUACGAAGACAAACAUUUUUUAUAAUGAUAUAAAAAAUAAGUUUUUAACUUCAGAUUUAAUGCAGAAUAAUAUAAAAGACAAUACGUAUAACAGUAAUAACAUUUUAAAAAAACAUAUACCUUAUGAUGGAAAGACUUUUGACUACAAUAUAACACAACAUAAUAAUAACAUAAAUAACGAUUACAUGUUUAAUCAUACUAACGUGAAUAAUAAUAUACAUAAUGAUAUACUUACUAGUAAUGAUACAUAUACAAAUUUUAACUACAACGGUAUGAAUAGAUUAAGUAGAUAUAGUAAUAAUAAAGACUUAAGUUUAAAUAAUAAUAUAUCACUGAUGUUAGAAAACAUUAGUAACUCUUCAGAUAAAAAUAAUACUAAUAACUACAAUAUUA